rnacentral:rRNA from 1 species
CGUAGGGUGCGAGCGUUAAUCGGAAUUACUGGGCGUAAAGUGUGCGCAGGUGGCUGAGCAAGUCGAGUGUGAAAUCCCCGGGCUUAACUUGGGAAUUGCGCUCGAAACUACUUGGCUCGAGUGUGGCAGAGGAAGGUGGAAUUCCAGGUGUAGCGGUGAAAUGCGUAGAGAUCUGGAGGAACACCGAUGGCGAAGGCAGCCUUCUGGGCCAACACUGACGCUCAUGCACGAAAGCGUGGGGAGCAAACAGGAUUAGAUACCCUGGUAGUCCACGCCCUAAACGAUGAUGACUAGUUGUUGGGGGAGUUAAAUCCCUUAGUAACGCAGCUAACGCGUGAAGUCAUCCGCCUGGGGAGUACGGUCGCAAGAUUAA